rnacentral:rRNA from 1 species
GAUUAUGGCUCAGGAUGAACGCUAGCUACAGGCCUAACACAUGCAAGUCGAGGGGCAGCAUGGAGCUUGCUUGCAAGCUCUGAUGGCGACCGGCGAAUGGGUGAGUCACGCGUGUCCAACCUGCCCCGCGCCCGGGGAUAGCCCUUGGAAAUGAGGAUUAAGACCCGAUACGUGCGUUGUCCGCAUGGACGUCGCAUGAAACCAGGCACGGGAUGGGGACGCGUCGGAUUAGCUUGACGGCGGGGCAACGGCCCACCGUGGCGACGAUCCGCAGGGGUUCUGAGAGGAAGGUCCCCCACACUGGCACUGAGACACGGGCCAGACUCCUACGGGAGGUAGCAGUGAGGAAUAUUGGUCAAUGGCCGAGAGGCUGAACCAGCCAAGUAGCGUGCCAGGAUGACGGCCCUACGGGUUGUAAACUGCUUUUGCGGGAGGAUAAAGUGCGCCACGCGCUGGCGCUUUGCAGGUAUCCCGUGAAUAAGGACCGGCUAAUUCCGUGCCAGCCGCGGC